CGCCGCCGGAGCCGCGCAGCGCGGCCGUGCGCGGGGAGCGGCCCCGGAGCCCGGGACCCCCGAACCCGGGACCCCGGCCCAGCCUGGCUGGAAUCUCCACUUCUUCACGGGCACCUGGGAGCAGAGCGGCUGAAGUCCCUGCCGUGCCAGGCUGGUGACACCCCGAGGGGCUCUGGUGUCCCCAGCCUGGUGCCCCUCGGCGGGCGAUGACCGACGCGGUGCUGGGCGGCUCCUCGGACCCGUGGAUGUGCCCCAGUGACAGGACCAUGUCCCUCCGAGCCAGCAGUGAGAAGGAGCAGUGAGUAUCUUUUAUUUUUCACUUAGUCCUCUUUUCCUGCUGCUUUGAUGGUCUGGGAACAGGAAAAAAAACUGGGUUUUGAUGCAAAAAAAAUUAAGUUUGGGAAGUGUCACACAGGGUUUUAACGAACUUAAGGCUCAAAGCCAUGUGGGUCUGUUAAUCCAGAGGGGAAAAGAGCCAGGAAAGGUCUUUGGAUGAGCAGGAAGGUGAGGAAUGUUUGCCUUUUGCACCCCUGAGUGGCAGACGUUACCCUGUCACCAGGUUAGCACUGCCUGACACCCAGGCUGGGAGAGAGGAUCUUUGGGAACGAUGUUAGAGGGACAAACACUCCCAUGUCUGGAGAAAUGUUCCCAAAAAAAAGCCACCCACUCCUGCGCCACCACCCCGGUCCCGUGGCUGCCAGGCAGACCUGGAGCUCCAGGGUGCCAAAGGAAACGUGUGAAUAAUGGGAAUGGUUCUGAAAAGGAGUUCUCCCUCUGAAUGAAACCAAUAUUCCCACAUGAAACCCCCUAAAAAGGGAGAUCAGAGCUCCCAGCCAAGGGUGGGGGCUCAUUGCAGGCUGGAUGGGGUCUGGAGGAUGAGGAGAUAGGCUGGGUUUGGAGGAUGGGGAGGUGGACUGGA